CACGAACCGUCCAAACGUUAUUCGGAAUUACUGGGCUUAAAGAGUCCGUAGGCGGUCCUGCAGGUGAGGUGUGAAAUCCCUCGGCUCAACCGAGGAAUUGCGCUUCAAACCGCAGGACUGGAGUGAGAUAGAGGAAAGCGGAACUGAUGGUGGAGCGGUGAAAUGCGUUGAUAUCAUCAGGAACACCGGUGGCGAAAGCGGCUUUCUGGGUCUUUACUGACGCUGAGGGACGAAAGCUAGGGGAGCAAACGGG
rnacentral:rRNA from 1 species